GUCUCGGUGGCGCAAUUGGUAAGCUUACCCUUCAACGUGAGGUUGAGAGUUCGAUCCUCUCCCGGGACG